UGGGGAAUAUUGCACAAUGGGCGCAAGCCUGAUGCAGCCAUGCCGCGUGUAUGAAGAAGGCCUUCGGGUUGUAAAGUACUUUCAGCGGGGAGGAAGGGAGUAAAGUUAAUACCUUUGCUCAUUGGCGUUACCCGCAGAAGAAGCACCGGCUAACUCCGUGCCAGCAGCCGCGGUAAUACGGAGGGUGCAAGCGUUAAUCGGAAUUACUGGGCGUAAAGCGCACGCAGGCGGAUUGUUAAGUCAGAUGUGAAAUCCCCGGGCUCAACCUGGGAACUGCAUCUGAUACUGGCAAGCUUGAGUCUCGUAGAGGGGGGUAGAAUUCCAGGUGUAGCGGUGAAAUGCGUAGAGAUCUGGAGGAAUACCGGUGGCGAAGGCGGCCCCCUGGACGAAGACUGACGCUCAGGUGCGAAAGCGUGGGGAGCAAACAGG
rnacentral:rRNA from 1 species